rnacentral:rRNA from 1 species
CCUACGGGCGGCUGCAGUGGGGAAUAUUGCACAAUGGGCGCAAGCCUGAUGCAGCCAUGCCGCGUGUGUGAAGAAGGCCUUCGGGUUGUAAGGCACUCUCAGCGGGGAGGAAGGCGGUGAGGUUAAUAACCUCAUCGAUUGACGUUACCCGCAGAAGAAGCACCGGCUAACUCCGUGCCAGCAGCCGCGGUAAUACGGAGGGUGCAAGCGUUAAUCGGAAUUACUGGGCGUAAAGCGCACGCAGGCGGUCUGUCAAGUCGGAUGUGAAAUCCCCGGGCUCAACCUGGGAACUGCAUUCGAAACUGGCAGGCUAGAGUCUUGUAGAGGGGGGUAGAAUUCCAGGUGUAGCGGUGAAAUGCGUAGAGAUCUGGAGGAAUACCGGUGGCGAAGGCGGCCCCCUGGACAAAGACUGACGCUCAGGUGCGAAAGCGUGGGGAGCAAACAGGAUUAGAUACCCUAGUAGUC